AAGGAGGUCCUAAGAAAGAAUUAAGUGAGAAACAGGACAACAAUUCACAGAGAAGGGGACAUAAUAGAGGGAAACAGAACAUGAAAGGCCAGCAGCAAAACAACAGCAGAGGACAAUCCUCCAAAUUCCAGCCAGCGUUUGAACCAUACUGGUCAAAUGAGGAGGUUUCUGCUGGACUCAAGCGAGGAGAACUGCUACAGGGACAAUUUAGGAUUAAUGUAAAGAAUUAUGAAGAGUGCUUCAUUGAUCACCCAGAUGGUACCAGGGAUGUCCUUAUUCAUGGGACCAAAGACAGGAACCGGGCCUUUCACGGAGAUAUUGUGGCCGUCCAGCUGAAAGAUAAGAUGGAGUGGAGGGUUCAUGAGAAACAUCUGACAGAUCUAGAUGAAGAACAUCGACAAAAGAACGGUGAGGAAGAAGUGUCAAACUCCAUGAAAUCAGGUGACGUUGCCACAGGUGCAACAGGGAACAGCGCCAGUGUAAACAAUGAUGGCAGAAAAUCCGACAGCAAAAUGAACACCCCCAAGAAAAAGUACUUGUCCGUGCAGGGAGCUCUCACCAACAACAGCCCUGUGGUCAAAUCUCUGUUUCACUCUGAAGAAAAAGAUGAUGACCUGGAAAACAAGCUUUUGCAGCCAACAGCCAGGGUUGUAGCAAUUAUAGAGAAGAGAAACAAUCGAGCAUGCACAGGAAACAUAAUGUUGACGACAGACAAAAACAGGGACUGGGCGUUCUUCAGACCCAUUGACUCCAGAAUGCCUCGCAUGAGGGUACCAAUGUCGGAGUGUCCCAAAGAUUUUUAUGAACGGCCGGAUGACCACAAGAACACUCUGUUCAUCUGUAGGAUUGUAGAUUGGAAGGACAACAUGCAGGCUUAUGGGUCCCUGAUGAAGAGCCUGGGGGAGGCAGGAGAGAUAGAGCCAGAGACAGAAGGAAUGCUGAUCGAAAAUGAUGUGGACUUUUCAGAAUUUCCACAGGAGGCCAUAGACAGUCUGCCUGUCCAGCAAUUACCUUGGAGAAUUCCAGCGGAGGAAUAUGAAUACAGACGGGAUUUCCGAUCCCAAUGUGUAUUUACCAUUGAUCCCUCCACAGCAAGGGAUUUGGACGAUGCUCUCUCAUGUGAACAGUUACCUGAUGGUAAUUUUGAGGUUGGUGUCCACAUAGCUGAUGUUAGUUACUUCUUGAAGGAAGGAACAAUUCUGGAUAAGAUAGCAGGUCACAGAGCCACUAGUGUCUACUUAGUACAAAAGGUAAUUCCCAUGUUACCCAGAAUUCUUUGUGAGCAACUGUGCAGUUUGAAUCCUGAUGAAGAUCGGCUAACAUUUUCUGUAGUUUGGAAGAUGUCAGAGAAAGGGGAGAUUUAUGAGGAGUGGUUCGGUCGUUCUGUGAUAAAGUCUUGUUGUAAGUUGGCUUACGAGCAUGCUCAGGGAUUCAUAGAGCAACCAGACAAGGAAUGGACUAUUGAAGAGUUACCACCCAUAUCUGAAAAGUUCUCUGUGCAGCAGAUUAAGGACAGAACUCUAAAUCUACACAAGAUCGCACAGAACUUGAGGAAGAACCGAGCAGAAAGUGGGGCUCUGAGGCUGGAUCAGGUCAAGCUACAGUUUUGUCUGAACGAUGAGACAGGGCUUCCCAAUGGCUACAGUAUCUACCAGCAGAAGGACAGCAACAGGUCUGAUCUCAUUGUGGCUGUAGUCAAUACAUGACUAUUGUGCAUGUACCUGGUACAUGUAACUACACAUUUUACAUGUACCGUACAUGUAUAUGGAUAUUUUUAUUUGCUUUGCAUUGUCAUGUUGAGAAAUUUUCUGAAUACCGGUAUAUAGAAGAUUCUUUUGUUUAGUGUAUUGUAAAUGUAUUUGAAAAUGAGCUAGUGAUAUUAUAGAAACAUUUUUGAUCUUCUGCUGAAGCAUAAUAUCACCCCAUAGGAGAUGGAAAGAUCACUUGAAUUGUAUGUUUAAUGUAUGGAUUACAUCAGACUUGACAACACUUACAAGUUUUAGAGCCUUUUGUAUUUUUAAAAGAUAUAAAAAUCAAAGUACCAUGAGCUGAUGGUUAUACUGGUAAAUUUAGUCAAACCUUAUCAAUCUUAAACUUGAUGGGACCAAGUAAAAACAUUGAAAAAUCCCAGGAAUCAAGGUUAAAACAGAUGUUAAGAAUACAAUGGUUGAAACUUCCAACUCAUUUCAAUCUCUUUACCCCUUCACAUUGUAUACUGUUUCUUUACAGACUGGUGGAAGAGUUCAUGUUGCUGGCCAACAUGGCAGUGGCUCACAAGACGCACAAAACGUUCCCCCAGAAGGCAUUACUUAGGCGUCACCCUCCACCCAAAUCCAAGAUGAUGGAGGAUCUGAGAGACCUUUGUAAAUGCCUUGGGGUCCCCAUUGACAUCACCAGCUCACAGACUCUUCAGAGGUCUUUAUGGAGUUACUUAGGGGAUGAUGAAUUCUCAGAGGCCAGGAUGCAGGUGCUUGUCAGUAUGUGCUCCAAACCAAUGCAGAACGCUCUGUAUUUCUGCACCGGUUGCCUGGAGGAUGAGGAACUAUACAGACAUUAUGCCCUGAACGUCCCUCUGUACACCCACUUCACCAGCCCCAUCCGACGAUACGCCGAUGUCCUGGUACACAGAACACUAUCAGCUGUCCUAGGGUAUACUCCAGAAAUCAAGCUUUCUCCAGUAGAGAUAAACAAACAGGCCCUUCAGUGUAACGAGAAAAAGACCAACUCCAAGCGAGUCCAAGAAAUGUCUGUGGACCUCUACUUCUCUGUGUUUGUCAAGGAAGCUGGUCCCUUUGAAGAGAGAGCUAUGGUGAUGGGUGUAUAUGACAAGUCAUUUGACAUCUUCAUUCUGAAAUUUGGAGUCAGUAAAAGAGUUUACACUGAUAAACUGGACAUAAAGGACAAAACCUUUUUAAAAGAACAGAAGGAGUCAGUGUUGACCUUAAUCUGGAAUCCGGAGAAGGAGGGAGGGGAAAGUGUACAGGAACAGGUCACCAUUUUCUCUCUGGUGGACUGUGUGAUGGCAGCAGGGGAACUCCCACUACAGUGGAUGGUCACAAUCAAACCACCCCACAAAAGAAAGAAGCAGCAGCCAGAAGCAGAAUUAAGAACUCAAAUGGACAAUCUGGAUCUCAGCUAAUUUUUAAACAGACAUAGUGCAAUAUAACUGAACCAUGCAUAUAUAUGUAUUUCAUUCUAGGAAUUCAGAUGAACAUUGAAUACAGUGAAUGUGAUAAAUAUUUGUACAAGGUACAUUUAUUGCUAUUUAUAUGACAUUUAAAAGAGUGAAUAAAAUCUAAAUCAUUUUAUGAAUUUU
rnacentral:misc_RNA from 1 species